rnacentral:rRNA from 1 species
CCUACGGGCGGCAGCAGUGAGGAAUAUUGGUCAAUGGGCGAGAGCCUGAACCAGCCAAGUCGCGUGAAGGAUGACGGCCCUACGGGUUGUAAACUUCUUUUGUCAGGGAGCAAUUGUGUCCACGCGUGGUCUUAGCGAGAGUACCUGAAGAAAAAGCAUCGGCUAAUUCCGUGCCAGCAGCCGCGGUAAUACGCGGGAUGCGAGCGUUAUCCGGAUUUAUUGGGUUUAAAGGGUGCGUAGGCGGAAUAUCAAGUCGGCGGUAAAAAUUCGGGGCUAAACCCCGUCGUGCCGUUGAAACUGAUGUUCUUGAGUGGGCGAGAAGUAGGCGGAAUGCGUGGUGUAGCGGUGAAAUGCAUAGAUAUCACGCAGAACUCCGAUUGCGAAGGCAGCAUACCGGCGCACAACUGACGCUGAAGCACGAAAGCGUGGGUAUCGAACAGGAUUAGAUACCCCUGUAGUC